UACGGAGGGGGCUAGCGUUGUUCGGAAUUACUGGGCGUAAAGCGCGUGUAGGCGGUUCGAUAAGUCUGCUGUGAAAAUCCAGGGCUCAACCCUGGACCUGCAGUGGGUACGGGCAGACUAGAGUGCGGUAGGGGAGAUCGGAAUUCCUGGUGUAGCGGUGAAAUGCGCAGAUAUCAGGAGGAACACCGGUGGCGAAGGCGGAUCUCUGGGCCGUAACUGACGCUGAGGAGCGAAAGCAUGGGGAGCGAACAGG
rnacentral:rRNA from 1 species